UAAGAUGGCCGAGUGUUAAGCGGUGGAUUGUAAACCCAUGAACGGGGGUUCACUCCCCCCUCUUGC
rnacentral:tRNA from 1 species